GCAGCUGUGGCCGAGUUGUUAAGGCGAUGGACUCGAAAUCCUUGCGGUUUCCCGCGUAGGUUCAAAUCCUACUGCAGCGGUU
rnacentral:tRNA from 1 species